rnacentral:rRNA from 1 species
UACGGAGGUCCCGAGCGUUGUUCGGAUUCAUUGGGCGUAAAGGGUGCGUAGGCGGUCUUCUAAGUUUGAUGUGAAAUCCCGGGGCUCAACCCUGGAAUUGCAUUGAAUACUGGAGGACUAGAGUACCGGAGAGGAAACUGGAAUUUACGGUGUAGCAGUGAAAUGCGUAGAGAUCGGAAGGAAGACCAGUGGCGAAGGCGAGUUUCUGGACGGUAACUGACGCUGAGGCACGAAGGCCAGGGGAGCAAACGGG